GACAGAGGGUGCAAGCGUUGUUCGGAAUUACUGGGCGUAAAGCGCACGUAGGCGGACUAUUAAGUCAGGGGUGAAAUCCCGGGGCUCAACCCCGGAACUGCCUUUGAUACUGGUAGUCUCGAGUCCGGAAGAGGUGAGUGGAAUUCCGAGUGUAGAGGUGAAAUGCGCAGAUAUCAGGAAGAACACCCGUGGCGAAGGCGGCUCUCUGGGACGUGACUGACGCUGAGGCGCGAAAGCGUGGGGAGCAAACAGG
rnacentral:rRNA from 1 species